UUGACCUCAAAUCAGGUAGGAUUACCUGCUGAACUUAAGCAUAUCAAUAAGCGGAGGAAAAGAAACUAACAAGGAUUCCCCUAGUAACUGCGAGUGAAGCGGGAAAAGCUCAAAUUUAAAAUCUGGCGGUCGUUGGCCGUCCGAGUUGUAAUCUAGAGAAGUGUUACCUGUGCUGGACCGUGUACAAGUCUCCUGGAAUGGAGCAUCAUAGAGGGUGAGAAUCCCGUCUUUGACAUGGACUGCCUGUACAUUAUGGUGCGCUCUCGAAGAGUCGAGUUGUUUGGGAAUGCAGCUCAAAAUGGGUGGUAAAUGCCAUCUAAAGCUAAAUAUUGGCGAGAGACCGAUAGCGAACAAGUACCGUGAGGGAAAGAUGAAAAGAACUUUGGAAAGAGAGUUAAACAGUACGUGAAAUUGCUGAAAGGGAAACGCUUGAAGUCAGUCGCGUUGGCUAGAAAUCAGCCUUGCUCUUGCUUGGUGUACUUUCUUGUCGACGGGUCAGCAUCAGUUUUGACCAUUGGAGAAGGACAUUGGGAAUGUGGCAUCCUUGGAUGUGUUAUAGCCCGGUGUCGCAUACGAUGGUUGGGAUUGAGGAACUCAGCACGCCGCAAGGCCGGGUCUCUGACCACGUUCGUGCUUAGGAUGCUGGCAUAAUGGCUUUAAUCGACCCGUC
rnacentral:rRNA from 1 species